rnacentral:rRNA from 1 species
AACGAACGCUGGCGGCAUGCCUAACACAUGCAAGUCGAACGAGAUCUUCGGGUCUAGUGGCACACGGGUGCGUAACGCGUGGGAAUCUGCCCUUUGGUUCGGAAUAACAGUUGGAAACGACUGCUAAUACCGGAUGAUGACGAAAAUCCAAAGAUUUAUCGCCAGAGGAUGAGCCCGCGUAGGAUUAGCUAGUUGGUGUGGUAAAGGCGCACCAAGGCGACGAUCCUUAGCUGGUCUGAGAGGAUGAUCAGCCACACUGGGACUGAGACACGGCCCAGACUCCUACGGGAGGCAGCAGUGGGGAAUAUUGGACAAUGGGCGAAAGCCUGAUCCAGCAAUGCCGCGUGAGUGAUGAAGGCCUUAGGGUUGUAAAGCUCUUUUACCCGGGAUGAUAAUGACAGUACCGGGAGAAUAAGCUCCGGCUAACUCCGUGCCAGCCGCCGCGGUAA